GAUGAACGCUGGCGGCGUGCCUAAUACAUGCAAGUCGAGCGAACGGACGCGAAGCUUGCUUCACUGAUGUUAGCGGCGGACGGGUGAGUAACAUGUGGAUAACCUACCUAUAAGACUGGGAUAACUUCGGGAAACCGGAGCUAAUACCGGAUAAUAUUUUGAACCGCAUGGUUCAAAAGUGAAAGACGUUCUUGCUGUAACUUAUAGAUGUAUCCGCGCUGCAUUAGCUAGUUGGUAAGGUAACGGCUUACCAAGGCAACGAUGCAUAGCCGACCUGAGAGGGUGAUCGGCCACACUGGAACUGAGACACGGUACAGACUCCGACGGGAGGCAGCAGUAGGGAAUCGUCCGCAAUGGGCGAAAGCCUGACGGAGCAACGCCGCGUGAGUGAAGAAGGUCUUCGGAUCGUAAAACUCUGUUAUUAGGGAAGAACAUAUGUGUAAGUAACUGUGCACAUCGUGACGGUACCUAAACAGAAAGCCACGGCUAACUACGUG
rnacentral:rRNA from 1 species